UACGUAGGGUGCGAGCGUUAAUCGGAAUUACUGGGCGUAAAGCGUGCGCAGGCGGUUUUGUCAGCCAGAUGUGAAAGCCCCGGGCUCAACCUGGGAAUGGCAUUUGGGACUGCAAGGCUUGAGUGCGGCAGAGGAGACUGGAAUUCCUGGUGUAGCAGUGAAAUGCGUAGAUAUCAAGAGGAACACCUGCGGCGAAGGCGGGUUGCUGGGCCGACACUGACGCUGAGGCGCGAAAGCUAGGGGAGCGAACGGG
rnacentral:rRNA from 1 species